rnacentral:rRNA from 1 species
UACGUAGGGGGCAAGCGUUGUCCGGAAUCAUUGGGCGUAAAGAGCGUGUAGGCGGCCCGGUAAGUCCGCUGUGAAAGUCCAGGGCUCAACCCUGGGAUGCCGGUGGAUACUGUCGGGCUAGAGUCCGGUAGAGGAGCACGGAAUUCCUGGUGUAGCGGUGAAAUGCGCAGAUAUCAGGAGGAACACCAGCGGCGAAGGCGGUGCUCUGGGCCGGAACUGACGCUGAGGAGCGAAAGCGUGGGGAGCGAACAGG